rnacentral:lncRNA from 1 species
GUUCAUUCUCGCUUGGCAAAUAUUUAUGUGCGAUUUCCCCUCUCCUUUUGGCCUUCCUUCGCGGCCUCUCUUGCCUCCCUCUGCUCCACCGCGUGGUCUGGGGACAUUCUUCAGGACCUCACCUCCCUGCAGGACAGGCCUUCCUGAAGCUCUCGAUGGGUGGGGGCCCGCUUCAGAGAGAGGCCGGACAGACCACGGCUGCCCACAGGACAGUGAGACCGAGGAAGCGUGCACAAUUCAUGAGCGGGUAUUGGGUGGAUAAGGAGACACCCGUCAGAGGCUCUGGGUUCUUCUAUCAGCGUGGGCAGUCUGCCCACCCCUCUCAUAUUCCGGAGGGGAGCACUAGCCACUCUCGCCGGACGGCGCCUCAUUCCGGGGCUUCGGAUGUGGGAGGGAGAGGACGAGGCCAAGGCCGUGCCAGCGGAUCUGGGGAGCUGGGGCUCCCCAGGAAUCUGGUCUCAUAGGAGAGUUUACCCAGCGGCAGCCACAAGCCCUCUGUUGUCAGAAACCAUGGCCCAGGGAGGGGAGCCAGGCCAAGGAAGGCCCAGUAAUUCUCACUCUAAGCAAAGUAUGUCAACCCUGCUCUUUCCUUGUGACCCCGUAAUCCGAUUGUAGACGCACCGGAGAAACGGACUCCUUUGAGCAAUACGUAUACAAGAGGGGGGUUCAGGUACUCCUUUGGAGCGUGGAAAAUUGGAGUCAGGAAGCCAAAAUGGGAGCACUGUGCCCUCGUCUUGUUCUGUGACUUGGGGGCAGCGAGCCUCCUGUCUCUAAACCUCCGUUUCCCAGUCUGAACAGUGGGGGAGAAAGUAACGUAACCCGUGGGUAACUGUGUUCCACGUGGUCCAGUCUUGGCUUGGCGACACAUGGAAAGAAUCACAGACUCGCAACCAGGGCGUAAUACAAAGAACUUUAAAUCUUUGCUUUGGCCUUUCUAGGAGAUCCCAAAGUGGGCAGCAGGACUGGGGCCGGAGAGAAGUUUAUUCCCAAUUCAUAGCGAUCCUGAGAAGCCCCCCACCCCCACGGUGUCUCAGUAUUCUCCACACACACAGCAGUGGUUUCUUCCCCCACUACUCCCGUCCAGACUCCCCCAGACACAGAGCCCAAGCCGCCUAUCAGCAUUUCUCCACCUGGAUUCUAACAUGUUGAUCCAAUAAGUUUCUCCCUUAGGCUUCUUCUCACACGGGGGAGGGUGGGAAGCUGACUGGACCCUCAGAGAAACCCAGGGACCUGGGGGAAGACAAGGAGGGCCCCACAUUCAUGCUGACUUGUCCCUGCUCCUUGUCACAGGCCACGGCGCUAGAGCUGAUAUCUAUGGCGUGGGUACCAGGCACCGUGCAAAUCGAACUCACAACGGCCCUGGGGGGGGGGGGGUGGACUGUGAAGGCCCCCCGGGGCACAACUGAGGAGUCCGAGACCCUGGGAGGUCACCUUGUCCAAGACCUCACCACUGUAGGUUAGAAG